GAUCCAUGAUUUGGGCACUUUCUGAGCAUGUCCUUAAACGUCUCACAAGGCUCAUGAAAGCUUUCCAUGUCAAGUUGUUGAAAGGUGGUUAUAGCAUGCUUGAGCUU
rnacentral:snoRNA from 1 species